CCUACGGGAGGCUGCAGUGGGGAAUAUUGCACAAUGGGGGAAACCCUGAUGCAGCGACGCCGCGUGAGUGAAGAAGUAAUUCGUUAUGUAAAGCUCUAUCAGCAGGGAAGAAAAUGACGGUACCUGAGUAAGAAGCCCCGGCUAACUACAUGCCAGCAGCCGCGGUAAUACGUAGGGGGCAAGCGUUAUCCGGUUUUACUGGGUGUAACGGGAGCGUAGACGGCAGUGCAAGUCUGAAGUGAAAGGCGGGGGCUCAACCCCCGGACUGCUCUGGAAACUGUACGGCUGGAGUGCAGGAGAGGUAAGUAGAAUUCCUAGUGUAGCGGUGAAAUGCGUAGAGAUUAGGAGGAACACCAGUGGCGAAGGCGGCUUACUGGACUGUAACUGACGUUGAGGCGCGAAAGCGUGGGGAGCAAACAGGAUUAGAUACCCGAGUAGUC
rnacentral:rRNA from 1 species